CUCGGGGGGGGGGGUUCCCUCAGCCCGGAUUGCGAGAGGGCGUAGGCCAGGCCAGGGGCCCCCACUGGUGCAGG
rnacentral:pre_miRNA from 1 species